rnacentral:lncRNA from 1 species
CCUUUAAUUCAUGUUUCUUCUAGCAAAUUAUGAAUGAUUUUUCCCUCUCUAAUCUACAGAGUGACAGUAGUUUAGCUGCACCUAAACUGAAAGACAGUACUCCACUUUAACCAAACUUGCAGCUUGCUACUCUAUGUCCUAAAAAUUAGGAUGCAUUUGCACCUUAAAUCAUUCUGGUUGUUUUCCCAUUGAGGCUCUGUGCUCAACCAUGUAAACUACCUGACAGUAAGAAACCUAGUGCACAGGAUUCUUGUCGGUUUGUAUAGCUUCAAGCUUUUAUUUUGAAGCUCUGUAUCCAACAAUGAAAUAAGCAAGGAAUGCCCCCAGUCUUGUUUUGUUUCUUUUUUUUUUAAUGUCCUAUUCAAUCUACAUAACACGCUGAAGGGAGUGCCUGGCAUAUUCCAGAAUAAUUAUAUUUUUUAAAUAGUGUACAUUAUUCAAAUGCAAUAUAACUGAAAAAGUGUUAGAUCUCAUAACAUUCUGACACAUUUUUCCCAUGCAAUUGUGAUUGAAACUUUCCUCCUCUUCAGCAAGUGUUUAGCAUGCUUAUCCCAUUUGCUGCUUAGUUACAGUAUGCAAAAGAGCACAGUAAAGCGACUGUAUUACCACAAAGGUGGAACUAUUAUAGCACUCAGAGCUUCCAUUUUCAAGUUGUGAAGAAUUUUGAAAUGGAGGAAAAUCUCUUUCAAGUUCUUUGAAGCUUGAGCGCAGGUGCGCUGAUGGCCUGCUAGGCCCAAUUUCGACCCCCCUCAGAGAGGAUAGCCUGCAGCUGUGCUGGAAGAGCCUGUGCUUCUAACGGUGGCCCUUCACCUUUUCCAGGUAUGUUUUUUGACCUUUUGGGGGGUUAGUACUGACUCCUUGUGUGCAAAAAAGACAUAACUGAGAAGGAGUAGCCUUCUGAGUUAGUACAGUG